rnacentral:rRNA from 1 species
GUGGGGGAUAUUGCGCAAUGGGCGAAAGCCUGACGCAGCGACGCCGCGUGGGUGAUGAAGGCCUUCGGGUCGUAAAGCCCUGUCGAGGGGGAAGAAACAGUUGCGGUCGAAUAGGCCGCAACCCUGACGGUACCCCUAAAGGAAGCACCGGCUAACUCCGUGCCAGCAGCCGCGGUAAUACGGAGGGUGCGAGCGUUGUUCGGAAUCACUGGGCGUAAAGCGCGUGUAGGCGGUCUGCUAAGUCUGAUGUGAAAGCCCGGGGCUCACCCCCGGAAGUGCAUUGGAAACUGGCAGACUGGAGUCCCGGAGAGGAGGGUGGAAUUCCUGGUGUAGCGGUGAAAUGCGUAGAUAUCAGGAGGAACACCGGUGGCGAAGGCGGCCCUCUGGACGGUGACUGACGCUGAGACGCGAAAGCGUGGGGAGCAAACAGGAUUAGAUACCCGAGUAGUCC